rnacentral:rRNA from 1 species
AUGCACGCUGGCGGCGUGCCUAAUCCAUGCCAGUCGAGCGAACAGACGAGGAGCUUACUCCUCUGACGUUAGCGGCGGACGGGUGAGUAACACGUGGAUAACCUACCUAUAAGACUGGGAUAACUUCGGGAAACCGGAGCUAAUACCGGAUAACAUGUUGAACCGCCUGGUUCCACAGUGAAAGACGGUCUUGCUGUCACUUAUAGAUGGAUCCGCGUCGCAUUAGCUAGUUGGUAAGGUAACGGCUUACCAAGGCAACGAUGCGUAGCCGACCUGAGAGGGUGAUCAGCCACACUGGAACUGAGACACGGUCCAGACUCCUACGGGAGGCAGCAGUAGGGAAUCUUCCGCAAUGGGCGAAAGCCUGACGGAGCAACGCCGCGUGAGUGAAGAAGGUCUUCGGAUCGUAAAACUCUGUUAUUAGGGAAGAACAAAUGUGUAAGUAACUAUGCACGUCUUGACGGUACCUAAUCAGAAAGCCACGGCUAACUACGUG